rnacentral:rRNA from 1 species
GUGGGGAAUCUUGCGCAAUGGGCGAAAGCCUGACGCAGCCAUGCCGCGUGAAUGAUGAAGGUCUUAGGAUUGUAAAAUUCUUUCACCGGGGACGAUAAUGACGGUACCCGGAGUAGAAGCUCCGGCUAACUUCGUGCCAGCAGCCGCGGUAAUACGAAGUGGGCUAGCGUUGCUCGGCAUUACUGGGCGUAAAGGGCGCGUAGGCGGACAGCUUAGUCAGAGGUGAAAGCCCAGGGCUCAACCUUGGAAUUGCCUUUGAUACAGGCUGUCUUGGGUACGGGCGAGGUGAGUGGAACUCAGAGUGUAGAGGUGAAAUUCGUAGAUAUGCGGAAGAACACCAGUGGCGAAGGCGACUCACUGGCCCGUUACUGACGCUGAGGCGCGAAAGCGUGGGGAGCAAACAGGAUUAGAAACCCCUGUAGUCC